CAACCAGUGCUUUAUAUGUUUCUAUAGUUCUUUACUUAAAAAUGUUUCAAAAGUGUUUGUCUCCCAUCCCACGAUGAUGAGCUGUGAUACUCCUUUCUGAGGGUGAAUCAAAGAGAGAGCGGUGGCGUUGGUUGCAAACUCUGUCAUUGAUGAGCGUUCUCUAUUGCUUUUGGCAGUAUUGAUGAAAGAGGUAUAAUCCAAGUGGU